GGUGCCAUAGUCUAGUGGUUAGGACAUCAGGUUUUGACGCAGCCUCCUGAGAGCCCCGGUUCGAACCCGGGUGGCACCU